ACAAAAUGGUCGAGGUUAACCUAUAAGAAAAGCGUUACUUGAGCUGAAACAGAAAGAGGAAUUAGUGUGGAAAACGUGAUGACGGCGGCCGGCGAUGCUUUUCUUCUUCUCCUCCUUACCUGGAAUCAAAUUCACGACUGCGUUGCCUUCCCUUUUCAGUAGCUUUUUUCGAAUGGAAACAGAACAAUGCUCUUUUCAUUUCUAAAAUAGGCAUUGCGAACCAAAUUCCUUGAAAACACGAAUCAAUGCCUAUUUAGAAAUGAAAACAACACUUCACUGUUUCCAUUUCAAACUAUUGUCAAGGAAGAUAAUGCUGACGAGUUCUUGAUUUUGAUUUUAGUUGAAGAGGAUCUUGUUUCAAUCAUCAUCCAACUAUCAAGAUUUUCUUCUCUUUUUUACUCAAUUCAUUGAUUAUUAUUGGCUUUGUUAAUUUUCAUUCUUGGUUUCUUCUUUUUGAGUUUCUUGUUGAUUUUCUUCUACACAAAGGAUAUGAUUUAUUCACUUGGUAUGAUUUAUUCUGCAGGAAUGCUGGGGAUGCUUCUGUGCAUAACGAACCUCUCUCUUAUGUGCUGCUAUCUGAGUUUUUUUUUUUUUUACUUUGUGCUGCUUUUAUAUGGCUCCAAAUGAGUAUCCGGCCAAUUGGACAUCAAAAGUUUCCAGCCCCUCCGCAUCCGCAGUUGUGAUGAUCGUACCGUGGUGCUAUCUAUCAAAUUUCUGCUGUCCUCUGUAUCCAAGUUCAGCAUCAAUCUCUAAAGUAAUUAAUUUGAUGGGUGUAAAAGUGUAUUUUAAUAAACUGAGUUUCUAUGUUAGUUUUAUAAGUUGUCUUGUUAUUAUCAUUCUGUUAGCCUUAGCUCAUUUAUGGAUUCUGUUAGUCUUGUAUCUAUAUAUGACCCAUAUUAUAUUUGUAAUUGAAUAAUAUAAUGUUAAAUUUGUUAAUCUGAUAUGAUUUAGCAGGAAAAAAAGAGGUCUCAUGUUUCAAUUUUUUUUCACUUUAAAAGCCAUUCAUAUAGUUACUCUUGCCUCCGUCAUUUUCCUUUCUCUGACGCUGGUUUUCUUUCUCUGUUUUGAUUUGAAUCUUAUUUUUCCUCCUUCCUUUCUAUUGUCUUUCUUCCACAUGCUUCCUUCGAUUCUUCAAUGGAGGAAUCCGAUGGAGAAUCCUCUAAGUCCACUAUACCCGCAAGGCAAGAUGAAUCAAGACACCCUUACAGCCC
rnacentral:lncRNA from 1 species